GAUUCCCCUAGUAACGGCGAGUGAAGCGGGAAGAGCUCAAAUUUGUAAUCUGGCGGUCUCGCGGCCGUCCGAGUUGUAGUCUAGAGAGGNGUUAUCCGCGACGGACCACGUACAAGUCCUUUGGGAUGCGGCGUCAUAGAGGGUGAGAAUCCCGUCCAUGACGUGGACUACCGUCGCUUUGCGUUACGCCUUCGAAGAGUCGAGUUGUUUGGGAAUGCAGCUCAAAACGGGUGGUAAAUUCCAUCUAAAGCUAAAUAUUGGCGAGAGACCGAUAGCGAACAAGUACCGUGAGGGAAAGAUGAAAAGAACUUUGGAAAGAGAGUUAAACAGUACGUGAAAUUGCUGAAAGGGAAACGCUUGAAGUCAGUCGCGUCUUCGAGGANUCAGCUCGACUUNUGUCGGGUGCAUUUCCUCCGGGGACGGGCCAGCGUCAGUUUCGGGCGUNGAAGAAUGGUGGGAGGAAUGUGGCAUCUUCGGGUGUGUUAUAGCCUCUNGUCGGACGCGACGCCUGGGACUGAGGACCGCUUUAUAGGAUGCUGGCGUAAUGGCUUUAAACGACCCGUCUUGAAACACGGACCAAGGAGUCUAACAUGCUCGCGAGUGUUCGGGUGGAAAACCCUUGCGCGUAAUGAAAGUGAAAAGUUGGGACCGCUCUCGCGGGCACCGACGCCCGACCCUGAAGUUCUCUGACGGGUUUGAGGUAGAGCGAGUAUGCUGGGACCCGAAAGAUGGUGAACUAUGCCUGAAUAGGGUGAAGCCAGAGGAAACUCUGGUGGAGGCUCGUAGCGAUUCUGACGUGCAAAUCGAUCGUCAAAUUUGGGUAUAGGGGCGAAAGACUAAUCGAACCAUCUAGUAGCU
rnacentral:rRNA from 1 species